AGAGUUUGAUCCUGGCUCAGGAUGAACGCUGGCGGCGUGCUUAACACAUGCAAGUCGAACGAACCUUCGGGUUAGUGGCGGACGGGUGAGUAACGCGUGAGAAUCUGCCCUCAGGAGGGGGAUAACGGUUGGAAACGACCGCUAAUACCCCAUAUGCCGCGAGGUGAAAUGAAUUUCGCCUGAGGAUGAGCUCGCGUCUGAUUAGUUAGUUGGUGGGGUAAAGGCCUACCAAGACAUCGAUCAGUAGCUGGUCUGAGAGGAUGAUCAGCCACACUGGGACUGAGACACGGCCCAGGCUCCUACGGGAGGCAGCAGUGGGGAAUUUUCCGCAAUGGGCGAAAGCCUGACGGAGCAACGCCGCGUGAGGGAUGAAGGCCUCUGGGCUGUAAACCUCUUUUAUCAAGGAAGAAGAUCUGACGGUACUUGAUGAAUAAGCCACGGCUAAUUCCGUGCCAGCAGCCGCGGUAAUACGGGAGUGGCAAGCGUUAUCCGGAAUUAUUGGGCGUAAAGCGUCCGCAGGCGGUCUGUCAAGUCUGCUGUUAAAGCGUGGAGCUUAACUCCAUUUCGGCAGUGGAAACUGACAGACUAGAGUGUGGUAGGGGCAGAGGGAAUUCCCGGUGUAGCGGUGAAAUGCGUAGAUAUCGGGAAGAACACCAGUGGCGAAGGCGCUCUGCUGGGCCAUAACUGACGCUCAUGGACGAAAGCCAGGGGAGCGAAAGGGAUUAGAUACCCCUGUAGUCCUGGCCGUAAACGAUGAACACUAGGUGUCGGGGGAAUCGACCCCCUCGGUGUCGUAGCCAACGCGUUAAGUGUUCCGCCUGGGGAGUACGCACGCAAGUGUGAAACUCAAAGGAAUUGACGGGGGCCCGCACAAGCGGUGGAGUAUGUGGUUUAAUUCGAUGCAACGCGAAGAACCUUACCAGGGUUUGACAUCCUGCGAAUCUCUUGGAAACGAGAGAGUGCCUUCGGGAACGCAGUGACAGGUGGUGCAUGGCUGUCGUCAGCUCGUGUCGUGAGAUGUUGGGUUAAGUCCCGCAACGAGCGCAACCCACGUCGUUAGUUGCCAGCAUUUAGUUGGGCACUCUAGCGAGACCGCCGGUGAUAAACCGGAGGAAGGUGUGGAUGACGUCAAGUCAUCAUGCCCCUUACAUCCUGGGCUACACACGUACUACAAUGCUACGGACAAAGGGCAGCAAACUCGCGAGAGCUAGCAAAUCCCAUAAACCGUGGCUCAGUUCAGAUCGUAGGCUGCAACUCGCCUACGUGAAGGAGGAAUCGCUAGUAAUCGCAGGUCAGCAUACUGCGGUGAAUACGUUCCCGGGCCUUGUACACGCCGCCCGUCACACCAUGGAAGUUGGCCACGCCCGAAGCCGUUACUCCAACCCUUGUGGAGGAGGACGUCGAAGGUGGGGCUGAUGACUGGGGUGAAGUCGUAACAAGGUAA
rnacentral:rRNA from 1 species